UACGAAGGGGGCUAGCGUUGUUCGGAAUUACUGGGCGUAAAGCGCACGUAGGCGGACUACUAAGUCAGGGGUGAAAUCCCGGGGCUCAACCCCGGAACUGCCUUUGAUACUGAGAGUCUCGAGUCCGGAAGAGGUGAGUGGAAUUCCGAGUGUAGAGGUGAAAUUCGUAGAUAUUCGGAGGAACACCAGUGGCGAAGGCGGCUCACUGGUCCGGUACUGACGCUGAGGUGCGAAAGCGUGGGGAGCGAACAGG
rnacentral:rRNA from 1 species